rnacentral:rRNA from 1 species
GUGACCCCAGGUCAGGCGGGACUACCCGCUGAGUUU